rnacentral:rRNA from 1 species
UGCCAGCCGCCGCGGUAAUACGUAGGGUGCAAGCGUUGUCCGGAAUCACUGGGCGUAAAGGGUUCGUAGGCGGCCUAUCAAGUCAGGUGUGAAAGGCAUUGGCUCAACCAAUGUAAGCACUUGAAACUGGUGGGCUUGAGUACUGGAGAGGUGAGUGGAAUUUCUAGUGUAGAGGUGAAAUUCGUAGAUAUUAGAAAGAAUACCAAUUGCGAAGGCAGCUUUCUGGAUCAUUACUGACGCUGAGGAACGAAAGCAUGGGUAGCGAAGAGGAUUAGAUA